rnacentral:rRNA from 1 species
AUUGAACGCUGGCGGCAUGCCUUACACAUGCAAGUCGAACGGUAACAGGUCUUCGGAUGCUGACGAGUGGCGAACGGGUGAGUAAUACAUCGGAACGUGCCCGACCGUGGGGGAUAACGGAGCGAAAGCUUUGCUAAUACCGCAUACGAUCUACGGAUGAAAGCAGGGGACCGCAAGGCCUUGCGCGGACGGAGCGGCCGAUGGCAGAUUAGGUAGUUGGUGGGAUAAAAGCUUACCAAGCCGACGAUCUGUAGCUGGUCUGAGAGGACGACCAGCCACACUGGGACUGAGACACGGCCCAGACUCCUACGGGAGGCAGCAGUGGGGAAUUUUGGACAAUGGGCGCAAGCCUGAUCCAGCCAUGCCGCGUGCAGGAUGAAGGCCUUCGGGUUGUAAACUGCUUUUGUACGGAACGAAAAGACUCUUUCUAAUAAAGAGGGUCCAUGACGGUACCGUAAGAAUAAGCACCGGCUAACUACGUGCCAGCCGCCGCAGUAA